GCAUUGGUGGUUCAGUGGUAGAAUUCUCGCCUGCCACGUGGGAGGCCCCGGGUUGCGAUCCCCGGCCAAUGCA
rnacentral:tRNA from 1 species